rnacentral:rRNA from 1 species
AUUGAACGCUGGCGGCAUGCCUAACACAUGCAAGUCGAACGGCAGCACAGCAGUAGCAAUACUGUGGGUGGCGAGUGGCGGACGGGUGAGGAAUACGUCGGAAUCUGCCCAGUCGUGGGGGAUAACUAGCCGAAAGGUUAGCUAAUACCGCAUACGACCGAGAGGUGAAAGCGGGGGACCGCAAGGCCUCGCGCGAUUGGAUGAGCCGACGUCGGAUUAGCUAGUUGGUGGGGUAAAGGCCUACCAAGGCGACGAUCCGUAGCUGGUCUGAGAGGAUGAUCAGCCACACUGGAACUGAGACACGGUCCAGACUCCUACGGGAGGCAGCAGUGGGGAAUAUUGGACAAUGGGCGCAAGCCUGAUCCAGCCAUGCCGCGUGAGUGAAGAAGGCCUCGGUUGUAAG